rnacentral:rRNA from 1 species
UGGGCACUAUUGCACAAUGGGGGAAACCCUGAUGCAGCGACGCCGCGUGAACGAAGAAGGUAUUCGUAUCGUAAAGUUCUGUCCUAUGGGAAGAUAAUGACAGUACCAUAGAAGAAAGCUCCGGCUAAAUACGUGCCAGCAGCCGCGGUAAUACGUAUGGAGCGAGCGUUGUCCGGAAUUAUUGGGCGUAAAGGGUACGCAGGCGGUUUAAUAAGUCGAAUGUUAAAGAUCGGGGCUCAACCCCGCAAAGCAUUGGAAACUGAUAAACUUGAGUAGUGGAGAGGAAAGUGGAAUUCCUAGUGUAGUGGUGAAAUACGUAGAUAUUAGGAGGAAUACCAGUAGCGAAGGCGACUUUCUGGACACAAACUGACGCUGAGGUACGAAAGCGUGGGGAGCAAACAGG